CACUGAGAAGCUUCUACCAGCGCUAGCCUUUUAAGCUAGAGAGGGAAAUAACCUUCCCUCAGUGA
rnacentral:tRNA from 2 species